UACGGGGGGUGCGAGCGUUGUCCGGAUUCACUGGGCGUAAAGGGCGCGUAGGCGGCUGGCUCAGUCGGGCCUGUAAGUGCGGGGCUCAACCCCGUGAUGGGUCCGGGACGGGCUGGCUGGGGCGCGGUCGAGGGAGACGGAAUGCCGGGUGUAGUGGUGAAAUGCGUAGAGAUCCGGCGGAACACCGGUGGUGAAGACGGUCUCCUGGGCCGAGGGCCGACGCUGAGGUGCGAAAGCGUGGGGAGCAAACAGG
rnacentral:rRNA from 1 species